GGAUCAAUAUGUCUGUCGUGCCUUCGGUACGUACGGGUAUAAUUGGUUUCUCCCUUCUGAGGAUCCUUGAUGCCAUUAAUUUGGUGUCUUGGGAAAUCAGGACUGUUACCUUGAAAAAUUAGAGUGUUUAAAGCAGGUAUACGCUUGAAUACAUUAGCAUGGAAUAAUGAAAUAGGACGUUCGAUUCUAUUUUGUUGGUUUCUAGGAUCGACGUAAUGAU
rnacentral:rRNA from 1 species